AUGGUAGCCGGCUCCCUUCUGCAGCGUAGCAUGAGACAUCGCACUCUAGCCUCCGUCCCGGCCCUGUGGGCCUCCAUCCCCUGUCCACGCUCUGAGCUGCGCCUGGACCUGGUUCUGGCUUCUGGACAGUCAUUCCGGUGGAGGGAGCAAAGCCCUGCGCACUGGAGUGGCGUGCUGGCCGACCAGGUAUGGACAUUGACCCAGACUGAGGAGCAUCUUUACUGCACUGUGUACCGAGGGGAUAAGGGCCGGGUUGGCAGGCCCACACUGGAAGAGCUAAAGGCCGUGCGACAGUACUUCCGGCUGGAUGUCAGCCUUGCUCAGCUGUAUCACCACUGGAGUUCUGUGGACCCCCACUUUCAAGAGGUGGCUCAGAAAUUCCAAGGUGUGCGACUCCUGCAACAGGACCCCAUCGAGUGUCUCUUCUCCUUCAUCUGUUCCUCCAACAACAACAUUGCGCGCAUCACUGGCAUGGUGGAGCGGCUCUGCCAGACCUUCGGACCUCGGCUCCUCCAGCUUGAUGAUGUCACCUACCAUGGCUUCCCCAGCUUGCAGGCCCUGGCUGGGCCACAGGUGGAGGCUCAGCUCAGGAAGUUGGGCCUGGGGUAUCGUGCCCGCUAUGUGAGUGCCAGUGCCCGAGCCAUCCUGGAAGAACGGGGUGGACUUCCCUGGCUGCAGCAGCUGCGCAAGGCCCCCUACGAGGAGGCCCAUAAGGCCCUCUGCACCCUGCCUGGGGUAGGCACCAAGGUGGCCGACUGCAUCUGCUUGAUGGCCCUAGACAAGCCCCAGGCUGUGCCCGUGGAUGUCCACGUGUGGCAGAUCGCUCAAUGUGACUACAGCUGGCACCCCACCACCGCCAAGGGUCCGAGCCCCCAGGCCAACAAGGAACUGGCUUCCUUUCCUCUGCAGAGUGAUCUCCUCUACCUGGCAGGAAGCAUGGUGUGAGGCAGCCCCAACUUUCCACCUGAACCCAGCAAAAGAGGAGCUACACCCAGUUUCAUGUAUCAGCCUCAGGGAGGGACUCCGAUGGGCUCUGCUGCAGUGACAUGCCUAUGCCUUUACCCCCAGACCUGUUGCCAGAGGAAUAAGGUACUACACAGGCUUGUGGGAUCUUAGUUCCCCGACCAAGGAUCGAACCUGAGCCACGGCAGUGAAAGUGCCAAAUCCUAACCACUGGACCACCAGGGUGUUCCUUGUGUCAUAUUUUAGAUUCCACACGGAAAACCAGCACCUACUCCCUGGGCUACAGCAGAGAUUAAGUAAGAGGGGGUACAUGAAGCCCCUGGUACACGGCAGGCACUCCGUAUACCCUCAUCCUUAAAGACCCCAGCAGCUUGCCAGCAACUUCUCCUCCUUCUAAUGAUGCACGUCUUUACCAGCCGCUCACGUGGUGACUGCAAGCCCUUUGCCCUGCCUCUCUUCCUAACCCAGCACGACGUUUAAGAGACAGGCAGAGGUGGCCAAAUGAAUGAGCAUGCCCUGCUCUGCUGGGGCUCUGUGAGGUGGAGACACAGCACCUGCCUACGAGGAGCAAGGGGACUUAGCUGGGCUGCUUCUCUAUCUCCCCAAUAAAAGGGGAGCCACGACCAUGAUCUCCCUACAGAUACCACCUGCACCCUUGUUGUUAGGAGUGCAGACCAAGAUGGAUGGGAAUGAAUAGAAAAUGAAUGACAUCGCACUAAAACACUGGUCAGUUCCUGGUGAGGGGCUGGUGUAAUCACAGAUGCUCAAGAAAAUGUUAACAGUUGAUAAACUGAGGUGGAGAGUAUACUGGUAUUUACUGUACUACUCCGUCAGAUUUUCUGUGUGUAUAAAAUUUUUCACAAUAAAACUGGGGGAAAAAGAAAAUAAGCAUGAAAAGACUUAAAAAUAAACCACACAGGGCUUCCCUGGUGGCGCAGUCGUUGGGAGUC